UGCUACUUUGCACAUCAUGAAGAAGAGUUGUUGGUCGAGUUUGCAGUUGUCUUUGUCACAUUUAAUCAGAAUCCCACUAAGUUUAAGUUUAAUUCAUUCAUUCAUUCAUUCGUUCAUUCAUUUUGCUAAAGCUGUGUGUACAUACACAGUGUACGUAUUGAAUGGCUAAAUACUACAUCAUAUACCAAAUUAUUAUUAUUAUUACAUGUCUAUUUGGAUGCCUUCAUAUAAAACGUGUUUAAUCAUUAGGGCAUAUUUGUUAUUAAAAGGUUUAACACUAAGACAUUUGAUAUAUCUGUCUGUAUGGCCCACUUAGCAUGAGUAACUGCUACAACAGUGCGAUUACAAUUGUUACUGUAUAAUAACCAUUGUGUUUGGUUGUGCACAGGAAAUAUGAAGAGGUAAGCUAACUUCUUUCCAGGAAGGAUGAGGGUGUCCUUCAGGAAGAGUCCAUUGGGCCACCUGAAGCAGGGCCCCUCAGAUGAGGCCAUGAAGAUUAAGAAAAAUCCUCUGCUUCAAGACAGGUCUCUGCCCCAGAGUCAUGAUAUAGUGAGGACGAACGCCCUUACUGAGGUCUUUCAGAGGGGCGGUGAUGUGUCAGACUGUCUGGAGGUGACAGGGGAGUACAUCUUGCAGUUCGGGAAGUACAACGGAAAGAGGUUCAGAUGGCUUCUGGGGAAUGUUGUCAGGUACAUCAUCUUCCUGUUAAGGUAGGUAAAAGAAGAGGAGAGAGACAGGACCCUCAACCCCCAGGGACAUAACAAGGACAGCCUGCCGUCAUUUCUGGACAACACCAGGAGUUUCCAAGAAGUUGUGGACCUGAGGGACUACCUGUUCUCCCGAAAGCCUGUGACACCCGUGGCUUCAGACGGCUUUGGGGAAAGGGCCAAGGACACCUGGAAGCAGAUCUGGGAGAAAAAGGCUAGUGGUUGUGUGGGUUUCAUCCUCAGAGUGAAGUGCAUCCCAAACAACAAAAUGUUCAAACUGCAGCAGUAAAUCAGGGAGCGGCAGGCUGCUGAGUCCUGUGCAACACCAACUGCAACCUCAACUACAUCAGAUGUGUCUGUGCCACCAUCCUUCACUAUAGUGAUGGAGGAAGACAAGGAGCUGGAGAGGGGGGGGCCACUGCCCUGCUGCUGUCGUGGACACAGAUGCUCAGGAGACCAGUGGAACUGUCCAGGUGGAUCCCGUGCCGGUCCUGUCUUCCCAGCAGUGCUCUGACGCUCAGUCCCAGGCACCCUUGAUACCAGCAUCUGCCACAAUGAAAGCUGGGAUGCAGUCUUUAAUGGACACAGGUCAUUCAAGCCCACCUACCAUCCCUCAAGUAGAACUAUAAGUUAAA